rnacentral:rRNA from 1 species
CAGUCGCCGCGGGAAUACGGAGGGGGCUAGCGUUGUUCGGAAUUACUGGCGUAAAGCGCACGUAGGCGGCUUUGUAAGUAAGAGGUGAAAGCCCGGAGCUCAACUCCGGAACUGCCUUUUAGACUGCAUCGCUUGAAUCCAGGAGAGGUGAGUGGAAUUCCGAGUGUAGAGGUGAAAUUCGUAGAUAUUCGGAAGAACACCAGUGGCGAAGGCGGCUCACCGGACUGGUAUUGACGCUGAGGUGCGAAAGCGUGGGGAGCAAACAGGAUUAGAUACCCCCGUAGUCCCUGUCUCUUAUACA